rnacentral:rRNA from 1 species
UACGAAGGGGGCUAGCGUUGCUCGGAAUCACUGGGCGUAAAGGGUGCGUAGGCGGGUCUUUAAGUCAGGGGUGAAAUCCUGGAGCUCAACUCCAGAACCUGCCUUUGAUACUGAAGAUCUUGAGUUCGGGAGAGGUGAGUGGAACUGCGAGUGUAGAGGUGAAAUUCGUAGAUAUUCGCAAGAACACCAGUGGCGAAGGCGGCUCACUGGCCCGAUACUGACGCUGAGGCACGAAAGCGUGGGGAGCAAACAGG